AAGUCUUUGAAAUCUACCUGCUAGGUUUUGCAUUUAUAGCAGACUUUAAUUCAGUAUAGACAUAUUUCAGAUGCUCAGUAAGCCACAUGCUGUUGCUACCAUAAUGGGUAGUAUAGGUCGGGGGUGGGGGCAUGUGUGACAGCGGAAGUACAAUAAGAAGCCAGUUUAUGAAGAUUAAUGCCAGGCAUCUGAAACUAUUUAUAACUCUAUGAGAAGAACAAGUUGGAAUUGCAGGAGAGAGGCUCAUGUUGAUGUGGGACUUAUUUCAGUGUCUGUGGCUUUAGCCUUUCACAGAGGAAUAUUUGCUGACCCUGACCUCAUCCAUUCUUAGAAACAUCUGUGGGUUCCUGAGGGAUUGUUCUUGUUUUCUUACAGUUAUGGAUUGGGACAAGAUUUCUGAGUAAAAUCAACACUUCAUCUACAUAACAUCUUGAUUUUUGACCAGAUCUUCCCCAAAUGGCAACUUUUCACUUUCAUUUGGAUUUUAACUUUUAUCCUCAAGACCUUUAAUUGAAUUACUAGUGUAAGUGUGAAAUAAUUAUGAACAACUCAUUAUAACUGUAUUUUCCCCUAAAAAAAUCCUUUAUUUUGUCAAAUCUUUAGAUUCUCUUUAAUUUGGCACAGUCCUCGUAGUUUAUUAAGUUAUAAUUGACUCAACAAUUCUAUAUGUGCCUGAAUCCUUGCAGAAGCUGACAUUUAGUAACUUCAAGGCAGUCCCAUGUGAUACAUGCAGCAGCAUGCAAAGCCUGCCUGCCAUUAUUCCAUAUAUUUCAAAGGGCAAUGGAGUCAGCCUUGCAGAGAGUUUACUUAUCUAUGUCUAUCUUUCUGUCUGUUUCUAUCUACUUGCCUGUGUUUUGUCUGUCUACCUGUAUCUGUGUCUAUAUAGCUAUCAGCUACCUCCCUCUCUGUCCGUCAUUUAUAUAUCUACCACCAACUUCCCUCUCUACCAAUCAUUUAUAUAUUGGUCUACCUGCCUACCUACCUGUCUAUAUUUGGCAUCCACUGUGUGUCUUUAAAGGUUCAUAAAAAGUAUAUCAAAGUCAGGAAGUUUUUUUUUUAGAUUUGUAGGCCAAGAGAAGUAUACUAUUUUCUCUGUCUUUUUAUACUGUUCCAGAAAUUGAACCCAGGGCCUUACCUAUACAAAUCAGCUUUUCUACUGCUGAGCCAUCUUUGUGGCUACAAGUAUACCAUUUUGAAAGGGUAGCCAGGAAAACCUCAGCACAUACUGGUUCCAUUUUCAUAGCAUACUGAGUCUCAGGGUAGAGGUGAAUGGAUACCUAAUUCUCUGUCUGUAUCCAGCUUAAAUUAUUUGGGAUUCCUUUUAGCUUAUUUAGUUCUGUAUCCAGAUAAACCUCAGAUAGCCUCCCAAAUCUGAUAUUAGUAAGAACCCGUUUUUGAACUAUAUGUUUGUGAACCUUAUGUUUGUGCGUGGCUUCUAUGUUACAGAAAUAAUUUUUUUCUCAUUUUGUGUGAACUGUGUUCCAAGAAUGUAGGAUCUAAGUAGUCUGUUAUUGUUAGUGUUCAGAAUUUAGUAAUCCUUGAUGAGCAUCAGUGGAAUAGAUUUGAUCACUGUUUCCUCUCUUUUAAGUAUAAUACUCUUUCUUAUCAUAGCCACAUGGAAGAAAACUCAGUAAACAGUCUAGUAAUAGUAAACACUACUCAGUAAUAUGUUUUCUUAUUUAUUGAUUUAUUUAUUUACCACUAGGGUUAUUGUUGGGACUUGGUGCUGGCACUAUAAAUCUACUGCUUUCAGCAGCCAUUUUUUCCUUCUCCUCCUCCUCCUUCUUCCCCUCACCACCUCCUCUUCCUCUUCCUUUUUCUCCUCUUCCUCAUCCUUCUUUUUUUCUUUAUAUUAUAUUUGAUAAGACAAAGAGAAAUUGAGAGGGGGAAGAAGAGAGAGAAAGACACCUUCAGACAUGCUUCACUGCCCAUGAAGCUUCUACCCUGAAGGUGGGGAGCAGAGGCUUGAACCUGGGUCCUUGUACAUGGUAAUAUGUGUGCUCCAUCAUAAGUUUUCUUCAACUCUCUUUAUCUUAAUUAAAAAUUUUCCAUCUGAUGGAGAAGUGUGUGUAUAUUAAGAGCUAAAAGUUAAGAAAGAAAUUAAAAGAGCAUUAAUGGCAUUACAAUUUAUUUUGAGACUUUUCUUCCUAAAUGCUGUUUUACUUAUAAAGUAACUCCUUCACACAUAAAUCUUUAUGACAAAUGGACUGGAAUGUUUCCCAGCAAAAGAAGAACUAUUUUAUGAUGCCACUUGUAAAUUAUAACACAUGUUAUGUAAGAGAACCAAAGUAUUAGCUUUUUAAAAGCCUUGUUAGCAUAAUGAGUUAAUUUGAUACAUAUACAAUUCUGAUUUCUUUGAAAGUGAAGGUUGAUGUGUCUAGGUGAAACUAAGAAAGUGAAUGCUUUGACAAAUGUUCAUUGUUUCUUAUUUAUAGGUAGGUCUCUUCAUGCUUUUGCUGCAUUUCUUCCUCAAAAAAAAGUGUAGUGCUUAAAAUUGUAAUUUAUUCCUUCAGAAAUUUACUUUGCAAACUUAAACUUUAACCAUCUUAGUCAGCAUUAACUCAACCAAGGCAAACUUUUGUCUUCCUUGUUCUCCAAAUGCGUAGAAGCCACCUACUUGCCAGUUCUGUGCUUUGUCCUCUGGAUUUGCUUUUAUCUUCUAGGUGUAUGUAAUGAACUGGCCUAUAAGUAUUGGACAAAGGCCUGAACAUGAUGGUUCUUUUUCAUUUAACUCUAUCCACUAGAAUUCGGUAGUUAUGCUUAUAUUUGGUCAAUUUAAGAUUUGGUUGGAAAUAAGCCUUGACUUGGGAAGACAAAUCAGACAAACUAUGACUCUGUGCUCCCAACUUGCCCUUGAGUCUUUUACCCAAAACGACUCCUGUUACUACUCUUCCCCCUAGCAGUAUCUGAGCAAGGGGAGGAUGAAUGACAGAGACUUAACCUGUAGAGGAUGUGCCAUGAGAGGAAAUGUGCCACCUGACUUACUCUGGGAGAUCAGGGAUUUGCCCACAUGCCACCUGGUUACAGAGCCUGCAUGACUAUCCUCAUACCCAGACUACUCUUGGUCCCCUUAGCAGCUUCUUUUUUCAUCAGAACACUCUUCCUGGAUUGAUGAUACAUUUAUGUAUUGGUGACUAUCUUCUAUGAGAAUGGAAACUCCAUGAGAGCAGGACCUCUGUUGUGUCUUUUCCCAUGUCCAAAGAAUGUAGAAUGGUGCCCAGAAUGGUAUAGAUUCCAAAUAAAUGCCAUUGUAUGAA